AAGCCUGAUCCAGCAACGCCGCGUGAGGGAUGACGGCCUUCGGGUUGUAAACCUCUUUCAGCAGGGACGAAGCGCAAGUGACGGUACCUGCAGAAGAAGCACCGGCCAACUACGUGCCAGCAGCCGCGGUAAUACGUAGGGUGCGAGCGUUGUCCGGAAUUAUUGGGCGCAAAGGGCUCGUAGGCGGUUUGUCGCGUCGGGAGUGAAAACCAGGUGCUUAACACCUGGCUUGCUUUCGAUACGGGCAGACUAGAGGUAUUCAGGGGAGAACGGAAUUCCUGGUGUAGCGGUGAAAUGCGCAGAUAUCAGGAGGAACACCGGUGGCGAAGGCGGUUCUCUGGGAAUGACCUGACGCUGAGGAGCGAAAGUGUGGGGAGCGAACAGGAUUAGAUACCCUGGUAGUCCACACCGUAAACGUUGGGCGCUAGGUGUGGGGUCCAUUCCACGGAUUCCGUGCCGCAGCUAACGCAUUAAGCGCCCCGCCUGGGGAGUACGGCCGCAAGGCUG
rnacentral:rRNA from 1 species